GCCACGGUGUCUCAGUGUGCAGCCUUGAGAGCAGCCUUUCAGGUCUGGCUGGGAGAGAGCUUUCUGGGGCGGAGGGGCUAACGGCCCGUGCACAGAGGCUCCAGUCUCUGUUUGUGCAGACAGUGUGGCAUCACAUCAAGCCACGGUCGCAGCCUCCAGGAAAACCCCAGGCAGGCAGGAGGGAUAUAUCCCCAGGAGAGGAAUUGCAGAGUCAUAGGGAAGGUCCACUUCUAGCCUUCUGAGAACUCUCCAGACUGCUCAAUUGACAUUCCCACUGGCAGAAGAACUCUGCCUUGCUGAUCUGGGCUCAGAAGGUGGGGAGAGACACAGCUCACCCAGAGCUCAGCAGUGAGCCUGCCCACCUGCCUGUGGGGACAGUGCUGCAGUCCUGGCUGCAGGAGGAGACCAGGGGUCCUCUGACGCCCCAAAAAC